GAUGAACGCUGGCGGCGUGCUUAACACAUGCAAGUCGAACGGAAAGGCCCAAGCUUGCUUGGGUACUCGAGUGGCGAACGGGUGAGUAACACGUGGGUGAUCUGCCCUGCACUUCGGGAUAAGCCUGGGAAACUGGGUCUAAUACCGGAUAGGACCACUUCUUGGAUGUUGUGGUGGAAAGUUUUUUCGGUGUGGGAUGAGCUCGCGGCCUAUCAGCUUGUUGGUGGGGUAAUGGCCUACCAAGGCGUCGACGGGUAGCCGGCCUGAGAGGGUGUACGGCGACAUUGGGACUGAGAUACGGCCCAGACUCCUACGGGAGGCAGCAGGGGGGAAUAUUGCACAAUGGGCGCAAGCCUGAUGCAGCGACGCCGCGGGGGGGAUGACGGCCUUCGGGUUGUAAACUCCUUUCGCUAGGGACGAAGCGUUUUGUGACGGUACCUGGAGAAGAAGCACCGGCUAACUACGUG
rnacentral:rRNA from 1 species